AUUGAACGCUGGCGGCAGGCCUAACACAUGCAAGUCGAGCGGAUGAAGGGAGCUUGCUCCUGGAUUCAGCGGCGGACGGGCGAGUAAUGCCUAGGAAUCUGCCUGGCAGCGGGGGAUAACGUCCGGAAACGGGCGCUAAUACCGCAUACGUCCUGAGGGAGAAAGUGGGGGAUCUUCGGACCUCACGCUAUCAGAUGAGCCUAGGUCGGAUUAGCUAGUUGGUGGGGUAAAGGCCUACCAAGGCGACGAUCCGUAACUGGUCUGAGAGGAUGAUCAGCCACACUGGAACUGAGACACGGUCCAGACUCCUACGGGAGGCAGCAGUGGGGAAUAUUGGACAAUGGGCGAAAGCCUGAUCCAGCCAUGCCGCGUGUGUGAAGAAGGUCUUCGGAUUGUAAAGCACUUUAAGUUGGGAAGAAGAGCAGUAAGUUAAUACCUUGCUGUUUUGACGUUACCAACAGAAUAAGCACCGGCUAACUUCGUG
rnacentral:rRNA from 1 species